GGAAGUAAAAGUGUAAAAGGUUUCCGUAGGUGAACCUGCGGAAGGAUCAUUAUUGUAUAACCGAGGUGCGAGGGCUGUCGCUGACCCGAAAGGUCGUGCACGCCCGAGUGCCCUCACACACAUCCAUCUCACCCCUAUGUGCACCACCGCGUGGGUCCCCCUUUGGCUUGUUCGGAGGGGGGCUUACGUUUUCACACAAACUUUGUAUGCAGUGUAGAAUGUAUUUUUUGUUUUUGCGAUCACGCAAUCAAUACAACUUUCAACAACGGAUCUCUUGGCUCUC
rnacentral:misc_RNA from 1 species